rnacentral:rRNA from 1 species
AGAGCGGUAGCCCGGAGAUGGGUACUGAGACAAGGACCCAGGCCCUACGGGGCGCAGCAGUCGCGAAAACUCCGCAAUGCACGAAAGUGUGACGGGGCUACCCCGAGUGCCGUCCGCUGAGGAUGGCUUUUCCUUGGUGUAACUAGCCGGGGGAAUAAGGAGAGGGCA